rnacentral:lncRNA from 1 species
CGCUCAGCAACGUAAAGGGCACGCGCUGCACUCAGCGGCCGCGUUGAGAGUCGGCGUCGUCGGCGCCAACGCAGUACGUACAGCCUGGCCAGCCGUGCUCCAAACAUGGUCGACCGGCCGCGCCAAACCACCUGACUCGGGGCUUCUCGGGAGCAGGCUCGGUGAAAGCAGCUGAUCGUCACCGUGCUCCGGGCCGGCUUCAGCUUUCGGACCCCGAGUUGCCGCUGCUCUCUCUCGGCGUUCUCUGCGUGCGGAAGAAGCUCGUCUCCUCGUUCGGCGGACAAGCGUGGGCAAGGACCGUUUUGGGGCAGAAAAAAAAGAUUUGUUCGUCGCGGCGUGCUGCUGGCCGCCUCUCUCUCGAAGGAGCAUUCUUCGGCCGCUCCAAGUGCGCGUGUUUUUGUGUGUUGUGUGUUGGGUGCCGUGUCUUUACGCCAAAACACAAACGCGAUGACCCCCCGCGACGUCAGUUGAACGCGGAGAUGCCCUGUCGUGUUCGCUGUUAAGAAAGCUCGCGGUAUCGCUGUGAUCCGAGCAGAACGACCAACGUUGCAUGCGUUAGUUGUUUCCCUCUCUGGCGAUUCGCCAAGUGCCGAUUGUGCGCUAUCCUGACGUGCAGUGCGCGUGUUGUGCCUUCCGCGACUGCGGCAGCUGCCAACGCCUGUGUGUCGUCUGCACGACUUUUGCCGCUUCCUAAAUCUUCGACAGCUGACAACUUCAAGAAGUUUCGAAGACAGUUUGCACCCGGCUUCGAGGGAUCGCCGGAACGGUCAGCUGCACGACUUCCGCGAGCAACAGACACGGCAGAUCCAUUCAGUGGUCGUCCAAGCAGGAGUGGCCGUACAAGGCGCACAUUAACGAGGUAAGCCAUUCGAAGAACAACAAAGGAAGAAAAAAAAAAAAAAACACGCAUAUCGAUAGAAGCAAAAAAAAAAAAAAACAGCAAUCUCUGAAAUAGCACGCCAAUUCACUUGCGGUGCAGCCCUAUAUUAAAGGCAACACACUCUGACGUGCGACACUCACUUUGCUGGAACUCUAGCUGCAAGUCGCGACCUGAAGCUAAGGGAAUGCACUGCGCAGGUGUCUAGAAAGAUGCUAGCGCCACUAACCGUGCUGGUCAUCCGCUUCAAAGCCGGGCAAUUGUAGACACCUUUCAGAGGUAAAAUUUCGCACGAUCGCUACAGGCGUGUGUUUCGUUUAGCAGUGGAGCGCGUUGUAAACACACAUUUCCAUCAAAGACGUUUGCAGCUAUAAUAUGCCCCAGUUUCACGCAGUUAAAAAAAAAGAAAAAAGUUGAGAUUAAAUUAUGUGAUAGCGUUUAGCGUUCCGGAAUUGCGCAGUGCUUCGCUUACUAGGGACGGCGUAAACCUGAUGGCUUCGGAUUCAUUUCGAUUACUUGCUGUACUUUGACGGGCAGCGAAAACACUGUACACACAAAAAGGAAAGAAAAG